GCCUGGCUGGCUCAGUUGGUUAGAGCAUGGUGCCAGUAACACCAAGGUUGCAGGUUCAAUCCCUGUAUGGGACA